rnacentral:lncRNA from 1 species
UUUCUCCCAUAGGUUUUAUAUAACAUGAGGUUGACUUGCUCCCUCCAGCCUUCUGAACUACAUCCUUCCUGGAAGCCACAGAGCAUUUGGGGAAUGGAAGCUUGUCAUGUGCAGAUUCAAUUCUGAAUUCUUUAUUCAACUUGAACUGUGACACUAAACUGGUCAGGAAAAACUGGAUCAGAUUCUAAUCUCCCAGAGGGAUUUACAGUCAUGCAGCUUCAUCAUCUGUAGUGGAGUUUUCUUGGUAUGAUUGAUGUCUAUCGUACCUACUGACUCUCGCCUGUUCUUUUAGGUUGAUUGGUAUUAUUUAUGUAUGAGGCUGAUGUAUAUAUUAAAAAAAAAAAAAAAAAAAAAGGUGAUUUAAUGGUGGAACAAUACUGACCUUGUCUGAUAUAUCAUAUUUAAAUCCUGAGAAUACUUGUAUUCAUUUC